rnacentral:rRNA from 1 species
UACGAAGGGGGCUAGCGUUGCUCGGAAUCACUGGGCGUAAAGGGUGCGUAGGCGGGUCUUUAAGUCAGGGGGUGAAAUCCUGAGCUCAACUCCAGAACUGCCUUUGAUACUGAAGAUCUUGAGUUCGGGAGAGGUGAGUGGAACUGCGAGUGUAGAGGUGAAAUUCGUAGAUAUUCGCAAGAACACCAGUGGCGAAGGCGGCUCACUGGCCCGAGUACCUGACGC